GCUACAGCCUGGCAGUAGCCUACAGCGCUGGACGAGCCAUGCAUCUGUAAUCUAAUGAUUCACAGUUCAGAAGUAUGGACAAAGCUGGGCAGCAAGACCACAAUGCUGGCGGCACCACCCACCAGAGGUGAAAAAUGACCUGUGAGUCUCUCAUUCCUCAGCUUCUGAG